rnacentral:rRNA from 1 species
GUUUGAUCCUGGCUCAGGACGAACGCUGGCGGCGUGCUUAACACAUGCAAGUCGAACGAUGAUGCCCAGCUUGCUGGGUGGAUUAGUGGCGAACGGGUGAGUAAUACGUGAGUAACCUGCCCUUGACUCUGGGAUAAGCCUGGGAAACCGGGUCUAAUACUGGAUACUACUUCCUGCCGCAUGGUGGGUGGUGGAAAGGGUUUUACUGGUUUUGGAUGGGCUCACGGCCUAUCAGCUUGUUGGUGGGGUAAUGGCUCACCAAGGCGACGACGGGUAGCCGGCCUGAGAGGGUGACCGGCCACACUGGGACUGAGACACGGCCCAGACUCCUACGGGAGGCAGCAG